UACAGGGGGGGCAAGCGUUGUUCGGAAUUACUGGGCGUAAAGGGUUCGUAGGUGGCCGCUUAAGUCAGACGUGAAAUCCCUCGGCUUAACCGGGGAACUGCGUCUGAUACUGGAUGGCUCGAGUUUGGGAGAGGGAUGCGGAAUUCCAGGUGUAGCGGUGAAAUGCGUAGAUAUCUGGAGGAACACCGGUGGCGAAGGCGGCAUCCUGGACCAACACUGACGCUGAGGAGCGAAAGCCAGGGGAGCAAACGGG
rnacentral:rRNA from 1 species